GAUGAACGCUGGCGGAAUGCUUUACACAUGCAAGUCGAACGGCAGCACGGGUGCUUGCACCUGGUGGCGAGUGGCGAACGGGUGAGUAAUAUAUCGGAACGUAUCCAAUAAUGGGGGAUAACUAGCCGAAAGGUUAGCUAAUACCGCAUACGCCCUGAGGGGGAAAGCUGGGGAUCGUAAGACCUAGCGUUGAUGGAGCGGCCGAUAUCUGAUUAGCUAGUUGGUGGGGUAAGAGCCUACCAAGGCGACGAUCAGUAGCUGGUCUGAGAGGACGACCAGCCACACUGGAACUGAGACACGGUCCAGACUCCUACGGGAGGCAGCAGUGGGGAAUUUUGGACAAUGGGGGCAACCCUGAUCCAGCCAUUCCGCGUGAGUGAAGAAGGCCUUCGGGUUGUAAAGCUCUUUCGCAAGGGAAGAAAACUCGAUCUCUAAUAUAGGUUGAGGCUGACGGUACCUUGAUAAGAAGCACCGGCUAACUACGUGCCAGCAGCCGCCGUAA
rnacentral:rRNA from 1 species